AUUGAACGCUGGCGGCAUGCCUUACACAUGCAAGUCGAACGGCAGCACGGGAGCAAUCCUGGUGGCGAGUGGCGAACGGGUGAGUAAAGUAUCGGAACGUGCCCAGUCGUGGGGGAUAACGUAGCGAAAGUUGCGCUAAUACCGCAUACGAUCUAUGGAUGAAAGCGGGGGAUCGCAAGACCUAGCGCGAUUGGAGCGGCCGAUAUCAGAUUAGGUAGUUGGUGGGGUAAAGGCUCACCAAGCCGACGAUCUGUAGCUGGUCUGAGAGGACGACCAGCCACACUGGGACUGAGACACGGCCCAGACUCCUACGGGAGGCAGCAGUGGGGAAUUUUGGACAAUGGGCAAAAGCCUGAUCCAGCCAUGCCGCGUGCAGGAUGAAGGCCUUCGGGUUGUAAAUUGCUUUUGUACGGAACGAAAAGGUUUGGCCUAAUAAGCUGAGCUCAUGACGGUACCGUAAGAAUAAGCACCGGCUAACUACGUGCCAGCAGCCGCCGUAA
rnacentral:rRNA from 1 species